UGUGCUGUGAAGAUGUUCCAAUUCUAUCAUGUAGCGUAGUCUGAUAAGCCUCCUCCGUCAAUCUUUUAGCCAGUGUUAAAGUAGACCAGAUACUCAAAACAUUUCUCUGAACAAGUCACACAAGGCCAUUUAGAAGACGUGUAAGUGACUCAGAGUAAUUGCCGGAGAUGAGCAUCAGCCCUCAUCCUUCACUCACACAGCUGUGCGUAAAAGCGCGCAAACGUUGCGUAAAUGGACCUCGCCACAAGAACCGUGGAUGUUGUCUCUUCAUCUGAAACUCAGCAGUGAGGUGUGAUCCAACUGCACACAGAUAUUUAUUAUCUGUGUUCCUGGCUAAAGCAUUGUGGAGAAAUUUAGAUGAAAGUACACACAGUCUGCAGUGAUGGAAACGCUUAAACUUGUUUUCAUUUUUGUGCUGCUUCUGUCAAACGUUUUCUGUCAAGAUAUGGAUGCUGACAUCUGGAGCGAAGACAUCGAGGAGGAAAAAUGGCCAAACUAUAAAGAAAUUCAAGACAUUUUAGUGAGAAUGACCAGAAAACCAGGAUCUCGCCAACAUCUUGGAUUUAUGGGGAAAAAGGAGUCUGGAAAAACACGGACGGCACGUAAACGGCACAAAUUUCAAACCUUUGUGGGUCUGAUGGGGAAGAGAAGCGCUUGGGAUUAAGGAGCUCUGUGACCCGGCGUCGAUUCAAGGCUGAAGAUCGCGGAGAAAAACUACAUUUAUUUCCAUCCGUGUGAUUUGUCUCCAUUAAACUUUUAUAGUCUGUACAUAUUAUUUAAUGUAUAAAAUAUCACAUUUAGUGCUAUUGAAAAUCGUCCUAACACUUAAAGGGCACAGAGCGACACCUAGUGGUAAAACAGUGAUUGAAACGCCUGACAUUUUUUUAAAGAUCCUAAAAAUUAGAAUAAAAGAACUGAGUUCAAAAGUAUACUAAAAAAAAAAUCUAAAUCAUUUAAUAACUCAAAAGUUACCAGAAUUUUACAGUAAAACAAAACUGGGCGAAUUACCAGAGCACAUGUUUUUAAUUGAGGGGCUAAAAAAAAAAAAAUGCAUUCUUUUAUGUUUAUGUUUCAGUCACAUAACUGGUGUUCUCCCCACUUCAUAAUGAGCACGUUUUCCCAUAAUAAACCAUCUCACUCUUCAAUAUCACAGGUUUAUUAAGUGACUUUGUACAUUACAAAUGAAAAAUAAAAUUAAAAAUACAGAGAUGGAGUACAUAGCCAAAGCAAAAUGUGGUGCUGACUCUUCAUUUCCCACUGAUCGUUUCCGCAGAGUAACUGAAAUAACAUGUGGGCUGUUUUUAUUUAAUUUUUUUCAUUGUGUCCAGAAUCACUGUUAAUAUUUGGAAGUGUUUUUCUUUAACAGUGGACACGCAGCUGUCAAGUCUCUGAGGAUUUUUCUAAACAUACAAAAGAAGUUAUUACGUCAGCUGGCUCGGUAUAUAUAAAAAUAAACUAAAGUGAAAUAUAACACUUAUGACAAUAUAAAUGGUGGUCCGAGGCUAGUGAAAAUAGCUAAACACACAGGAAAAAGAAAGCGUUAUAUUUCAGACAAAAAGAAGCUUUAGCCAUCUUUUUUUUUAAAUCUAUAAAAAGGCCCAAGGUGCAUUUUCUCGUUUUUUCUGCCGACAGUGUUUCGUUCGAGCCUGCUGCGCUGAUGGGACGAGGGUUACAGGUUUAACAGGUACACUCAAAACCAAAACAGAAAUGAUUCGUUAAUGCCUUGUCCUCUUCUUACUUUAACACACAUUUGAAGGUCAGGUUAAAUGUUCAUAUACUUUUAUUUUUCCAAUAAACAAGUAUUACAAUGGAAACUGAU